rnacentral:rRNA from 1 species
GGUGAGUAACACGUGGGUAACCUGCCCAGAAGUUGGGGAUAACACCUGGAAACAGAUGCUAAUACCGUAUAACAGAGAAAACCGCAUGGUUUUCUUUUAAAAGAUGGCUUUGCUAUCAAUUUUGGAUGGACCCGCGGCGUAUUAGUUAGUUGGUGAGGUAAAGGCUCACCAAGGCAGUGAUACGUAGCCGACCUGAGAGGGUAAUCGGCCACAUUGGGACUGAGACACGGCCCAGACUCCUACGGGAGGCAGCAGUAGGGAAUCUUCCACAAUGGACGCAAGUCUGAUGGAGCAACGCCGCGUGAGUGAAGAAGGGUUUCGGCUCGUAAAGCUCUGUUGUUAAAGAAGAACGUGGGUAAGAGUAACUGUUUACCCAGUGACGGUAUUUAACCAGAAAGCCACGGCUAACUACGUGCCAGCAGCCGCGGUAAUACGUAGGUGGCAAGCGUUAUCCGGAUUUAUUGGGCGUAAAGCGAGCGCAGGCGGUCUUUUAAGUCUAAUGUGAAAGCCUUCGGCUCAACCGAAGAAGUGCAUGGAAACUGGGAGACU